UAUUCGCGACGAAUAAUUAAUCUCUUCGGCUUCGAGAGCGCUGCUUGGCGAAUUCUAGAACCUCAUCUCCCCAACAAUGGCGAUGACGAUUUUUAGCUCUGCUUUUAGCGGAUUUGAUCGAUCGUUAUGCUUCGUCUUCUUGUUCGAGGAGCUGUUUCAAUUCUCUUUUCCGACCUUAAAACGGCGAGAGGAGAGGAGAACCUGUGAUGGCUGGAUGUUAUUUUUUACGGUGAUGAAUGCGCCACAGCAGUAAGGUUUGGUGGGCCGCUAUGCACAUAACGUCUUCUCAAAAUCGAGGGCUCCAGUAGAGGGAAGAGAGAGAGAGAGAGAGAGAGAGAGAGAGAGAGAGAGAGAGGCUUCUCCUCAGGCUCGCUGCCUUCUGAAGCCGCCGCUAGCAAAGCUAAAAAGGUCUCACUCCCAGGCCUGGGUACUCCUUUGAACCGUACGACUUUCUAGCUUGUUCUUUAUGUACACGAGCUAAAUAUCAACUCUUUCGCGCUCUCUUUUUCUUGUGUGUGUGUGUGUGUGUGUGUGUGUGUGUUUUAGGGUGUCUUUUUCUUUAUUAUCCUGGAUGCAUGGGUGUGUGUGUGUUUUUUAGGGUCUGUCUUUUUCUUUAUUAUCCUGGAUGCAUGGGGGUUGAUUGGGAAUGAGUGUGUGGUGGGCUUCUUUUGCAAAUAGCCCCUUCACAAAAUUUUAUUUUAAAAUUAGUCCUGUCAAAAAUUUAUUUGCA